ACCGGUGUGACCGGUGUCGGCUGAGCGCGUACGUCACUUGUCUCUGCGCCAACGACGAUGACCGCGAGCAGACCGCGAGUCAUGCAGCACAUGCAGCUUUCGUCUUGACAACCACUGGACAACGUAGUCCGUGAACCGGUGUCCCGUAGCGACUUCGUCGUGACUGCCUCAGAGAACGUCUAGUACUGCCUUUGCUUGAUUGACGGACGUCGAGGGCGAAACAGAGCGAAGGUGCUGCAAUGCGCUGCCUUGCCACGACAAGUGAUGCAAGCCAGAAAGACCAUUACGUGAAGCAAUGACGGGCGAACAUAUACGUGGAGAACGAACGAAGUGAUUGUGCGAGCAGGCCAAGCCAGAAAGUUGCAAGGAAACUAUUAGCGCCACAAAACCAGCCACCGCCGCCUCUAGCACCAUCCGGUGCCCGUGCUGCAAGUACAGUCAUAACCCCUGUGGAGGGGAUCCGACCCCAUGGAGAACGCAGGGGCUGACGAGCCGCG